GUAGAGGUGUCUUUACCACAUUCUGGUUGUUAUAUCUUGACCAUUCAAGGUGUCUUGGAGUGCAACUUGGUAAUUACCUUCUUCAAAUGUAGUAGAUGUGUAAUUUAAUUAACUUAUUCAAAUGUCAUGUUUAAUUUCAGUCAGCUGUGAUUCUCUGCCACAAAAAGAAAAUUUCGAACACUUGGUAAAUUGCUGGCAGUGGAAACCAUGAUAUGUGUGUGCCUUUCGCUUGAACUCAGGUACUUGCAAGGAUAUGAUUACAACUUCACCUUUCUAACCAUAAAGGGUGCAGGAUAUACAGCCCCAGGAUACAAGAUAAGAGAAUCACUAGACUUCUAGCUGUUGGUUGGAUGAAAAGUCACUAAAAUUGUAGACAACAAAAAUUGUUAUGAGAAUUGAGGAAAAAGCAAAACAUCCUCUUUGUCACCUUUUUUUUUUCCC